AGCGCUGGAGAUGUUUCCUGUUUCCCUGUGUGAUGAAUAACAGCGGCCUGGCCGUCUUCCAGGCCUGAUACAUCAAUAACCUGACCUGACCUUUAUGUCUGCACCGUGCAUGCAUCACAGGGACGAGGAGGAAAAAGGAUGAGCUGCGUCUGUAAGCAGGCUGUGGCAUAUCUCUGACAGCAGUUGUUGUUGAUAUGAGAUGCAAGUUGUCCUGUUGUAAAGCCUUAAUGGACCAAUCAGCAUGCAUCAGCAGAAGGUUAGUGGACACACUCACCAGACACAUUAGGUAUAUCUUUCCAACUGCUCAUUAAAACAAAUAUUAAAUUAGCCAAUCACAUGGCAGCAACUCAAUGCAUUGUCACAUAUAGACAUCAAGAAGAUCUCCUGAAGUUCAAAGGGUGCAAAGAAAGUUGUGUAGUUGUCAGUGCCAGAGGUGCUGGUCUGAGUAUUUCAGAAAGUGCUGCUCUGCUGUUAUUUCUGUGCAAUGGGCUGUAGAGUUCUUGAAUGUACCAGCUGAGCAUUGUUUAAAUACCACAGCCUACCUGAGCAGUGCUGGCGACCGCGUCCAUCCCUUUGUGACCACAGUGUGCCCAUCUUCUGACGGAUGCUUCCAACAGGAGAAUGAUCCAUGUCAUAAAGCUCAAAUAACUUUGAACAGGACAGUGAGGCCUGCACAGACACCAGGUCACAAUCUGUGCUGGAACAGCAACAGUCUAAUCAUGGAUGUGCAGCUGACAAAUUAGCAGCAACUGUGUGAUGCUUCAUGUGCUUCCAUAUGUCGGGACUGAACAAAACCCCACAAGAUAAGCAGAAUACUAUGGGCUCAAAUUGUGGUCAUAAAUAUUUUGUACUUGUAAAUCAGGAUUUGUUUGUGUAA